CAGUAGCCGCGGGAAUACGUAGGGUGCGAGCGUUAAUCGGAAUUACUGGGCGUAAAGCGUGCGCAGGCGGUUCGUUAAGACAGAUGUGAAAUCCCCGGGCUUAACCUGGGAACUGCAUUUGUGACUGACGGGCUAGAGUAUGGCAGAGGGGGGUAGAAUUCCACGUGUAGCAGUGAAAUGCGUAGAGAUAUGGAGGAAUACCGAUGGCGAAGGCAGCCCCCUGGGCCAAUACUGACGCUCAUGCACGAAAGCGUGGGGAGCAAACAGGAUUAGAUACCCGCGUAGUCCCUGUCUCUUAUAC
rnacentral:rRNA from 1 species